rnacentral:rRNA from 1 species
AGAGUUUGAUCCUGGCUCAGGACGAACGCUGGCGGCGUGCUUAACACAUGCAAGUCGAACGGAAAGGCCCUGCUUUUGUGGGGUGCUCGAGUGGCGAACGGGUGAGUAACACGUGAGUAACCUGCCCUUGACUUUGGGAUAACUUCAGGAAACUGGGGCUAAUACCGGAUAGGAGCUCCUGCUGCAUGGUGGGGGUUGGAAAGUUUCGGCGGUUGGGGAUGGACUCGCGGCUUAUCAGCUUGUUGGUGGGGUAGUGGCUUACCAAGGCUUUGACGGGUAGCCGGCCUGAGAGGGUGACCGGCCACAUUGGGACUGAGAUACGGCCCAGACUCCUACGGGAGGCAGCAGUGGGGAAUAUUGCACAAUGGGCGGAAGCCUGAUGCAGCAACGCCGCGUGCGGGAUGACGGCCUUCGGGUUGUAAACCGCUUUCGCCUGUGACGAAGCGUGAGUGACGGUAAUGGGUAAAGAAGCACCGGCUAACUACGUGCCAGCAGCCGCGGUAAUACGUAGGGUGCGAGCGUUAUCCGGAAUUAUUGGGCGUAAAGAGCUCGUAGGCGGCUUGUCGCGUCGACUGUGAAAACCUGCAGCUUAACUGUGGGCCUGCAGUCGAUACGGGCAGGCUAGAGUGCGGUAGGGGAGACUGGAAUUCCUGGUGUAGCGGUGAAAUGCGCAGAUAUCAGGAGGAACACCGGUGGCGAAGGCGGGUCUCUGGGCCGUUACUGACGCUGAGGAGCGAAAGCGUGGGGAGCGAACAGGAUUAGAUACCCUGGUAGUCCACGCCGUAAACGAUGUCGACUUGGAGGUUGUGCCCUUGAGGCGUGGCUUCCGGAGCUAACGCGUUAAGUCGACCGCCUGGGGAGUACGGCCGCAA